rfam:Flavobacterium sp. ov086 genome assembly, contig: Ga0070134_123
CUCUAGCCCUGAUGGGAACGGCAUCCUUUUUCUGGCUCCUUUAGCCAGGAAAAGAUAUAGUGGACAGCAGGAAAUAGC